GUGAGAUGUUGGGUUAAGUCCGUAACGAGCGCAACCCUGUCCUUAGUUACCAGCACGUUAUGUGGGCACUCUAAGGAGACUGCCGGUGACAACCGGAAGGAAGGUGGGGAGUGACGUCAAGUCAUCAUGGCCCUUACGGCCUGGGCUACACACGUGCUACAAUGGUCGGUACAAAGGGUUGCCAAGCCGCGAGGUGGAGCUAAUCCCAUAAAACCGAUCGUAGUCCGGAUCGCAGUCUGCAACUCGACUGCGUGAAGUCGGAAUCGCUAGUAAUCGUGGAUCAGAAUGUCACGGUGAAUACGUUCCCGGGCCUU
rnacentral:rRNA from 1 species